CAAAGUGUAGCUUAAACAAAGCAUUUAGUUUACACCUAAAAAAUCUCACAUAUACUGAGCACUCUGA
rnacentral:tRNA from 1 species